ensembl:lncRNA
CAAACCUGCAAGUUAUGAGACAGCUGUCAGUAUUGGAAGAAGCUUUAACGACUCGUAGAUGAAACUGCCUGGGUUAUUUUGUUUCGUAUAAGUUAUAUUUUAAAACAGCCAUUGUAGCCUACCACUCGUGGAAUAUGGAGUUUCAAAGAGAUGAUGGAGUGAUUUGACUCAGAAGUGACAUCAGGCAUUGGCAGCGCGAGAUGUGCAGAACAAGUUAAACUUCUAGCUCAGUAACAUCAACACCUAAGAAAGAAGGUCCCGUUACACUCAGCCUGCCCUGGAACUCCGUCUCCCAGCAUGCACCUCGCACUGAGAGCGACCCGUCACCCACGGUGCGGCACGGGAGGCUCCAGGAGACGAAGAUGAGGUGGGACAGAGCGGGCCACGGAGGAGAGGAGAGGAGGAGAGGAGGAGAGGAGAGAGGGGCCCGUGGGGCAGAUGAAGAAACUGAAUUCCGUAGCGGAGGACUUGGACAAUGGCAGCCUGAGCCAGCUUUACAAACCCGGAACGUCGAGUGGAAGAGCUCUGAAAGCCACUAGCCUCAGGGCCCGCUAAAAUACCAGCCUUAACACACACGCGCACACACACAC